rnacentral:rRNA from 1 species
UCUAAGGAAUAGCCACUGGAAACGGUGAGUAAUACCUUAUACGCCCUUCGGGGAAAGAUUUAUCGGAUUUGGAUCGGCCCGCGUUAGAUUAGGUAGUUGGUGGGGUAACGGCCUACCAAGCCUACGAUCUAUAGCUGGUUUUAGAGGAUGAUCAGCAACACUGGGACUGAGACACGGCCCAGACUCCUACGGGAGGCAGCAGUGGGGAAUCUUGGACAAUGGGCGCAAGUGAUCCAGCCAUGCCGCGUGAGUGAUGAAGGCCUUAGGGUCGUAAAGCUCUUUCGCCAGGGAUGAUAAUGACAGUACCUGGUAAAGAAACCCCGGCUAACUCCGUGCCAGCAGCCGCGGUAAUACGGAGGGGGUUAGCGUUGUUCGGAAUUACUGGGCGUAAAGCGUACGUAGGCGGAUCAGAAAGUUGGGGGUGAAAUCCCGGGGCUCAACCCCGAACUGCCUCCAAAACUCCUGGUCUAGAGUUCGAGAGAGGUGAGUGGAAUUCCGAGUGUAGAGGUGAAAUUCGUAGAUAUUCGGAGGAACACCAGUGGCGAAGGGGCUCACUGGCUCGAUACUGACGCUGAGGUACGAAAGUGUGGGGAGCAAACAGGAUUAGAUACCCUGGUAGUCCACACCGUAAACGAUGAAUGCCAGUCGUCGGGUAGCAUGCUAUUCGGUGACACACCUAACGGAUUAAGCAUUCCGCCUGGGGAGUACGGUCGCAAGAUUAAAACUCAAAGGAAUUGACGGGGGCCC